AAUGAGAUGGUAAGCGGUGCAUGAUCAGUCACAAAGGAGGGAGUAGAGGUGUCUUACACUUGUGGGUUAAGGUUGGGGGAUACAAGAGGAGGACGCAAAGGAGGCUUUGGAUUGGGAAGAAGGGUGGCAAUGAGGUGUGGCUGUAGCCCAGGAAUAGUCAGGGAAGCAGAUAAUUUAGUUAAAGUGUCUCAGCCUAAUAAGGGAACUGGGCAGGUGGGGAUAACUAAAAGGAGUGCUUAAAAGAGUACUGUCUAAUUUGGCACCAGAGUUGGGGAGUUUUAAGAGGUUUAGAAGCCUGGCCAUCAAUACUUACAACAGUUAUGGAGGCAAGGGAAACAAGCCCUUGAAAAGAAGGUGAUGUGGAGUGAGUAGCCUCCGUAUUGAUUAAGAAGGGGAUGGACUUACUUUCCACUGUGAGAGUUAUGCGAAGCUUGGCAUCCCUGAUGGUCUAGGGGGCUUCUGAGGCAAUCGGGCAGCGUCAGUGUUCAGCCACUAAGCCAAGAAGAUCUGGGAAGCAGUCAGCCUUGGGCCAGAGUUCCAGGAGCUCUGGGAGUGGCUGCCAGGCUGGAGUGCAGUGGCAUGAUCACAGCUCACUGCUGCCUUGACCUCCCUGGCUCAAGCAAUCCUCCCACCUCAGCCUCCCGAGUAGCUGGGACCACAGGUACGCACAACCACGCCUGGCUAAUUUAAAAAAAUUGUUUUGGUAGAGACAGGGUCUUGCCACAUUCCCCAGGCUGGUCUUGGACUCCUGGGCUCAAGUAAUCUAGUUGUAAAAAGUUUAAAGCCGGUUUUUAAAAAGCCCAACUUUCAUCAUUGGCAGGAUGUGCGUUCUGAUAAAAUUACUCUUACAACUAGAAACAGAAGACCCUUUCCUUGCAUUUCUAAUUGUUUUGUUCCACUGCGGUAUUUAUAGUUUGAUGAAGAGCAUCUUACCCCUGCACAGUGCUUUUAAACUCUGCUGUGCCUGAUAUGAAUACUCUUAUUUUCUGCUUGUACCCUAUUUUUCUAUCCACUUAUUUUCAGCCUGUCACUUUUAUGAUUAUUACAUCAACAGCAUAUUCCUGGGUUCUAGUUUCAACCCCAAUCUGACCACCUGUCUUCUAAAGAGAAAAAACAGAUUUAGUGUAACAAGGUAUUUCUUGGUUUGUUUAGGAAAGGACACCAAGGUUCAGAAACAAGUGAGAAUUAGGAUUUGAAAGACAAAUGGGCGGGGGGAACUCCUUAGUUUGGCUUUUGAAUUUUUAUUACUUUUUCAGAGAUGAGGUCUCACUGUGUUGCCCCGGCUGGUCUCGAACUCCUGGGCUCAAGCAAUCCUCCCGUCUUGGCCUCCCAAAGCACUGGGAUUACAGGCGUGAGCCACCCUGCCCAGCCUAGAAAGCAUUUUUGACUGAACCAAAAAUGCAAAUCCUCACCAAAAUCUCUCAGUGAAGUCACUAAGCUCCCAUUAGAGUGGAGUGUGGAGAGGCCAAGGGCACUCACCUAGUGCCAAGAUCCCACAGAGAAACAUGAGGCCAGGGCAUGAGCACCUCCUCCCAACAGGACCCCGUGACUGGGCCUUUGAACCAUUAGAUGCAGCCCUGGAGCCGCGGUCAGAGCGUGACUGUCCCCGAGAAGGGAAGCAGCAGCCGGCACGGCCUGUUCUCCCAUCUUCACAUCACUCCCUCCAUACAAACCACUGCUUCCCACCGCCUCCUGUGACAAUGCCUGGCGAGGUGGUCAUGCCCCCUUCAGCCCUCCUGAAGUGCCCUCUGGGAAAUAAGGCACGACGGACAAAUGGAUUCAACAUCCUUUUCUUUUUCUUUUUAAAACUAAACCUUGCUUGAGGGGCAUGGUUUGGAUGAGUUCUCUGACUUCAUCCCUGGAUUAGACAAAUGUCCCCCCCCCGGUCACGGGCAGAGGACUCCAUGAGACGUGUCUAACCCAGGGAUGCAGACUUCCCCCUUCGGCAGGACAGAAAGUCUACUGUGUGGAAGAGGACGAUCCGGAACGUGUCCUCUCCAUGGGCGGGCAAAUCCAGGCUGGAGCCCAGAGCGUGCCCUGCUCCUCGGUCUCUCCUUGGCGGGGUAGGAAAGGCAGUCCCGGGGCCACGGUGCAUGCCAUGGGGGGUGUUCUCCCUCACAAUGCUUUCUAUGCUGCACUUUUAUCUUCUCCUUUUCCUUAGGUCUUCUAAAAGAUUAAGGUGCAAAUCACAUACAAUCAAAUGCAUAGGUCUUAAGUGUAGGUUUUGAUGAGUUUGGACACAUGUAUACGUUCACAUAACCACCAUCACCAACAAGCUGCGGAAGACUUCCCUCACCCCAGAAGGUGUCCCUGUGCUCUUUUCAGCCAAUCCUUCUCUCUUCCCUGCCAGGAGAAAACACUAUUCGAAUUUCUCCCAUCAAUUCGUUUGGUUGGUUUUAGAGCUUCGUAUAGAUGCUUACAUAUCUUACUUCUUUUGCUUAACACAUUUAUUUAUUUAUGAGACAGGUUCUCACUCUUGUCACCCAGGCUGGAGUGCAGUGGCACGAUCUCAGCUCACGGCAACCUCCACCUCCCGGAUUCAAGUGAUUCUCGUGCCUCAUCCUCCUGAGUAGCUAGGAUUACAGGUUUUUGGACUUUACGAUGGCGUUUCGGAAGCAUUAAGCUCUCAGCAGAAGCCACACUCUGAAUUCCGAUCUUUUCCUGGGCUGGUGAUGGAUGCGCAGCACAGUGCCCUCCUGCAGUACUGAGCGGUGGCAGGGAGCAGCAGUCCCAGCCAGCUGUGCCAUCGCGAGGGGAAGUGGCCGGCAUGGAUCUUUUCUCCCCUAUAUCCGAGGUCUGAGUCCUUUGUCAGGACACACAGUGUGAUUUCUUGCCUGGCAUUCCGUUCCUUGCUUGUCCAUUUUCAAGAGCAGAACAUUUUCACGUUGAUGGAAGCCCGAUGUCUUUCUUCUACGGUAUGUGCUCUGCAUCCAAAGCAGCCUUCGCCCAUCCCACAUUUUAGAUAAUUUUUUCUUUUAAAAACUUCACUAAGCGCUCAUGUUUGGAUCUGCAAUCUAUUUUGGAUGAAUUCUUGUGUAUGACGUGCAGUAGGAAAAAAGGCUCAUGUCUUUCCAUACGGAUAGCCAGUUUCAUUCAGACACAGGUGGUGGCCAGACCUGGCACACGGAUGCAGCUGACCCUGGAAGCUGAAGGGCAGUGAAACCCAUCUGAUUAAGAUGCUCAACUUUUCUGAAGAAAAAGCUGACACCUGCCUAAGGUCACACCAUCAUGAGUGGCUGAGUUGGGCUGUGAUGAGCCACCCGGCUGGAGAGCUUGUGCCCUGGUUACACGAUUGCCAGUGAGAUGCCUAUGAACUCGCAUGUAGAGGUGGGUACCCAGACAGCUCAGAGUGAGCUGCCUGCGGGCCCAGCAUGCAGAGGUGUGUACUCAGUGCUGUGUGAGAUGCCUGUGGGCCCAGGCACGGAGGGGGUGCAUGCGUGCCCAGAAAGCAAAAGGCUGUGCAGAGGACCUGCUAGGAGGUAAUGACUAGAGAACAUGUUUUUAAGCAAACAGGUGAAGGGAAAAUGCAAAAUAAGGAGCUACAUAAGCAUCACAUCUUAAGAAUCAUUAUGGAGCACCUAACUGUGACUUGUUGGGCUGGGAGCCAAACAACAUAGGUGGGACACGCUGCACAUAAAAGUAACAAGCUGGAGGUCCAGAGGAACCCUUGGAGCCGUCCCAAGACUGAGAGCCGGUGUCAGGCACCACCUCUUCUGGGCACCUGGGCUAUGGCAGUGGGGAGGAUGAGCCCCUGAUCCCAGAGGCCACUCUCUCACACAGUGCAGUGCAGUCUUUCUCACACAGGACCUAGUGUAACACGGGACCUAAUGGCAGGACACAUCAACCCAUUAAAAAUCCAAGCAAGGUACAAGAGAUUUCUAGAAACAAAGAAUCAGGUUUAUUUUUGUUAUUUUGAAUACAGGUAUUGUAUUGUAGACAUCUGUUAGUCUCAUAAUUCAGUAUGGCCAACACACAGAAAUUAAAAGUAGAAACAAAAUGAGGGCACACUUGCUCCUGUCCUUGGCUUGGCCCCUCCAACCUCCAAAAGAACUGUCCUCCCCAUUGUCAUAUCCUUUCCCUGCUACGAAAGACAAAACAAAAUGCUGCCCCAAAGAAAGAAAAGUCCCAGAGGCUCUCUCCCAGCAGUCAGUGGGAUGAAGCAAGACACUGUUACCUUGGGUAGGAUGGAGAAGCCACCAGGUCCAUAUCACAGAGGCCACAGUGGGAUGGAGAAGCCACCAGGUCCAUGCCACGGAGGCCACGUGUGCCACCAGUGGAGCCAAACCCUGGCCAUGGCUGGCAAAACUCGCCACCAGGCGAGACCAGAGCAUAUUAUCUACCAGUAAUCCCCGAGGUCCAACGCCAUUCAAGUCAGGCAGCCCUGAGGCAAGCAGGAGGAGCCCUGUCCUCUGGGGGUGCUGCUUCCAGAGGAGGCCCAAGGACAGUCUCUUCAGAGAGGGGCUCACCCGGGAAAGGGGGUUCCUGAGGAGGCGUGCAAAGGUCAAGGGACCCACCCUUGCCACCUGUCCCAGGGCUUACUGCUGACUCCACUGUCCUGGGAGUGCUGGAAUCUCCACACCACUUAAAAUGAAAAAGGAAAUCAGAAAUAAUAAGGCAUUAGACGUUUGAUUCUUUUAUUUCCAUAUGCAAUGUAAUGUUUAGGCACGCUGCUUGGGAUGCUAUUUCUAAAAAAAUUAUUGGCCAUUUUUCAGAAUAUCCUUUUGGUUUUAAAUACUGGUCAGGAAAAACAAAUGAUGUAAAAAUACGUGAAUAAUUUUCUAUUACAGAAAUGAAAAACUGAUUUGCAUCUAAAAGUGCAAGAGGUGAAGUAAUUUAACCCUUUCACCAGACGAUAUGGCAAUAUACAAUAUAUUGCUUGAGCUGUUUGAGAAGGCUGUGAUGUAUUUUUGUAUUGACAUAGAAAAUUAUAAAUUACAUUGAAUUAGUAUCCAUAAUCACUAUAUAUAUACACAAACCAGUUCUAAAAAAACACACUGGUUUAAAUUUAUGAGUGAAAACCUCACAAGGUACAGUAAACAAUUAGCAUGCUUCGGUGCCAGAUUUUGAUUUCUACUUUUAAAAUACUAGCCUGUAAAAUGAACGCACUCUAAUUCCAUUAGCAGCACGAGCAUUUUCAACUGACUUGCCUAAUAGGAUUUAUUUUAGGUCUGUUAAAUAUGCAGAUUGCUCUGAAAUGUUCAUUGGUGAUGCUUGUUAACAAGGUAAAUUUUGGUGAAUGGGUUAAAAGGCAGAUGAACUACCAAACGAAACAAAAAAACAAACAAAAACAAAAGCCAAAAAAAAAAAAAAAAAAAAUCCCAAAACACAAGCCAUAUACACUCCAAAUAGUCUAGUGUUUCACUUGUAGGAAUAAUCAUUUCAAGCAAACAAGACUUGAACAGAACAUAUGGCUUUACAAUAACAUCAAUUUAUCAACUAUGAUGUAGCAAUAAAUACUUAAUCUCUACCAAUAGACUUACAUUUUUGAUCCGUUUUAAACAAUACAGAAAACAAUUACCAAUCAAAAACUGGUUAUAAAAAGAACACCAAAUAUUUCUUAUUCAAAACCACUUUUGUAAGUUAGAACAACCAAAAUAACACUUAGAGGGCAUUUUCAUUCUACAACUCCUUGUCGGCCUGGAGGAAAAAUGAAUUCAUAAUUUUGUACAAGGUGAAAAAUGUAUGAAAACCGCCUAAUACUUUGGUCACACUAAUAAUUGUCAAAUAGUUAUGUUUCAAAUACAAUAGAUCUGUGUAUUCACUUUUAUAAAACUAUUCUUACAGCCAUUUUAACUAUAGUAUUACUACUAUUAUUACAUGGGUGGCAAGAUCUUAUUUCACAGGCUACCCAUUAUUUAGAACAAUACAAUAUAAACAUACGCAAAAAUUCUUGGUAUUUGUCAAUGUGCAAUAUUUUUACACUUCUGAAUUUCUCUGUACAAUGUCUUAGAAUCUAGAAUAUAAAGGUUGCUGGUCCUGAUCCCUUGCAGAGUGAGUGCAGCAGUGACAGCUUGGUGGGCUCCAGCUGACCCCUCCAGAGCCCCUGAGUGGUGGCGGUCUGCAGUCCUCAGUCAGCAGCAGCAGACGUCACCCGUCAUACAGGGCCAUUCACUGAAGUGUCACCUGGUGCGCUUGGCUGGCCAGUCCUAAGGAGCAACAGACAGGCAUCGGAGGCACUUGCAGCAGAAAUAUGAAAAACAAAACCUACUUAGCUGAGCUCCCCAAGGGCAGGGACAACUUAUUUUAACAUUGUUUUGAACUUAGUAAGUUUUUAAUAAAAUGAUUGAUUGAUUGAUAUGUAAACGAAUGGAGCAAAAGCUCUAGAAAAAUGUGAGUGCAUCUAAGCUUCAUCACCGGGUGAGCAGGCAUUCAGCAAGGGCAGCAGCAGAGCAAAUGCUCUGGGAGAACCGCCCCACUGCGGCCUCCAAGAAGCACAGGGAGUGACUAGGUCAGUGGGGUAUAAACUGUGGCUUCCAGAGCCUUCAGGAGCUAUGUGUUCACCGUUCCUUCAAGAAAGCUUUUAUGUGACCCACAGAUUGGAAUCCACAUACUAUUUCACUUGGAAACAGGAUUCUGCUACUAGGAAAGGGGGGGAAAAGGGAAAGGAAAGAAGGUUUGCAAAUAAAUUACUGGGAAAAAAAAAAA